GACGAACGCUGGCGGCGUGCUUAACACAUGCAAGUCGAACGGAAAGGCCCUGCUUUUGUGGGGUGCUCGAGUGGCGAACGGGUGAGUAACACGUGAGUAACCUGCCCUUGACUUUGGGAUAACUUCAGGAAACUGGGGCUAAUACCGGAUAGGAGCUCCUGCUGCAUGGUGGGGGUUGGAAAGUUUCGGCGGUUGGGGAUGGACUCGCGGCUUAUCAGCUUGUUGGUGGGGUAGUGGCUUACCAAGGCUUUGACGGGUAGCCGGCCUGAGAGGGUGACCGGCCACAUUGGGACUGGGAUACGGCCCAGACUCCUACGGGAGGCAGCAGGGGGGAAUGUUGCACAAUGGGCGGAAGCCUGAUGCAGCAACGCCGCGUGCGGGAUGACGGCGUUCGGGUUGUAAACCGCUUUCGCCUGUGACGAAGCGUGAGUGACGGUAAUGGGUAAAGAAGCACGGGCAAACUACGU
rnacentral:rRNA from 1 species